AUCAACGCUGGCGGCGUGCCUCAGACAUGCAAGUCGAACGCGAAAGUUUCCUUCGGGAAGCGAGUAGAGUGGCGCACGGGUGAGUAACACGUGAGUAAUCUACCUCGGGUGGGAAUAACAUCGGGAAACCGAUGCUAAUACCGCAUAAUGCAGCGGCUUCUUAUGAAGACAGCUGUUAAAGCAUUUAUGUGCCUGGAGAGGAGCUUGCGGCAGAUUAGCUAGUUGGUAAGGUAAUGGCUUACCAAGGCAACGAUCUGUAGCCGACCUGAGAGGGUGGUCGGUCACACUGACACUGAAUAACGGGUCAGACUCCUACGGGAGGCAGCAGUCGGGAAUUUUGGGCAAUGGGCGCAAGCCUGACCCAGCAACGCCGCGUGAAGGAUGAAGUAUUUCGGUAUGUAAAACUUCGUAAAAAAU
rnacentral:rRNA from 1 species